rnacentral:rRNA from 1 species
CGCGUAGGCGGUUUACACAGUCAGAUGUGAAAUUCCAGGGCUUAACCUUGGGGCUGCAUUUGAUACGUGUAGACUAGAGUUCUGUAGAGGGGGGUAGAAUUCCAGGUGUAGCGGUGAAAUGCGUAGAGAUCUGGAGGAAUACCGAUUGCGAAGGCAGCCCCCUGGACAGUGACUGACGCUCAUAUGCGAAAGCGUGGGGAUCAAACAGGAUUAGAUACCCCCGUA